rnacentral:lncRNA from 1 species
UGACAAUGAGGGCAAUCAAAUGUUGAAAAGGGAAGAAAAUACAAAAAGUAAUGACCGAACAUAAUACAGCAUCUACAUAUGGAAUUAAUCAUUAAGAUAGACAAACACCUUGACAUCCUUGAUAAAAAGGCUGAACUAAGUUGAUUUUGAAGGGUAACCAGUUUCGUGAAUAAAAUGUGGUCUCGUAAUUAAUACAAAAACAGAG